rnacentral:rRNA from 1 species
AAGAAAACUGGCGGCAGCAUACACAUUCAAGUCGCACGGUGAAGUGCCUUCGGGCGCGGAUCAGUGGCGGACGGGUGAGUAACGCGUGAGCAAUCUGCCUUUGACUGGGGAAUAACAGAGAGAAACUUCUGCUAAUACCGCAUAACGCAAGAGAGUCGCAUGGCUUUUUUGCCAAAGAUUUAUCGGUCAGAGAUGAGCUCGCGUCCGAUUAGAUAGUUGGCGGGGUAACGGCCCACCAAAUCGACGAUCGGUAGCCGGACUGAGAGGUUGAACGGCCACAUUGGAACUGAGAGACGGUCCAGACUCCUACGGGAGGCAGCAGUGGGGAAUAUUGGGCAAUGGGCGAAAGCCUGACCCAGCGACGCCGCGUGAGGGAAGAAGGUCUUCGGAUUGUAAACCUUAGUUGGCAGGGAAGAAGAAAGUGACGGUACCUGCAGAGAAAGCCACGGCUAACUACGUGCCAGCAGCCGCGGUAAU